UAUAUUUUAGUAUAUGGUGUAUAUAAGUUUUUGAUACUUAGGGAAAUAGUUUAAUUCUAUUAAAUAUAA
rnacentral:tRNA from 1 species